UACGAAGGGGGCUAGCGUUGCUCGGAAUCACUGGGCGUAAAGGGUGCGUAGGCGGGUCUUUAAGUCAGGGGUGAAAUCCUGGAGCUCAACUCCAGAACUGCCUUUGAUACUGAAGAUCUUGAGUUCGGGAGAGGUGAGUGGAACUGCGAGUGUAGAGGUGAAAUUCGUAGAUAUUCGCAAGAACACCAGUGGCGAAGGCGGCUCACUGGCCCGAUACUGACGCUGAGGCACGAAAGCGUGGGGGAGCAAACAGGGA
rnacentral:rRNA from 1 species